ACGGGAGGGCGGAGAUCGUCCCCCGCCGUCCACCGGAGGCGGCAUCGUACUCCUCGCGAUCGCGGACCAGCGGCGGUUGGACCGGCGCCAAAAGGCAGCCCGGAAGGUGAGUCGACGUGGGCUCGUCCUGCAUUGACAGCUUACAGACCCGUUGUCCGGUGCGCCGAUCCGACCGAGGAACGAGGGCAGCCCCUGCCCGCCGUGGUGUACGCCGUACGGCGGGGCCUCCCGACACGAGCGAGUCGUGCGACGUGGACUGCGUGCAGUGCUAGCCGUGGCGGUAAACUCGUGGCGGUGAGUGCCACCCGUGCACCAGUGCCGCUGGUAUUCAGAC
rnacentral:misc_RNA from 1 species